rnacentral:rRNA from 1 species
GGCUAAUAAAUKGUUGGRACUUGAUCUUGACACAAUCCUACUUGGAAAUUAAAACAUAGGUAGGUAAUUCUAGAGCUAAUACAUGCAUUAAAGCUCUGACCUCACGGGAAGAGUGCAUUUAUUAGAACAAAACCAAGCGGCUUCGGCUGUUUCUGGUUGACUCAUAGUAACUGAGCUGAUCGCAUGGUCUUGCACCGGCGACGUGUCUUUCAAGUAUCUGCCGUAUCAACUUUCGAUGGUAGUGUAUCUGACUACCAUGGUGAUCACGCGUAACGGAGAAUAAGGGUUCGGCUCCGGAGAGUUCGCCUGAGAAAUCGCGAACACAUCUAAGGAAGGCAGCAGGCGCGAAAAUUACCCACUCUCAGCACGAGGAGGUAGUGACGAAAAAUAACGAGACCGUUCUCUUAUGAGGCCGGUCAUCGGAAUGGGUACAAUUUAAACCCUUUAACGAGUAUCUAUGAGAGGGCAAGUCUGGUGCCAGCAGCCGCGGUAAUUCCAGCUCUCAAAGUGCAUAGAAUUAUUGCUGCGGUUAAAAAGCUCGUAGUUGGAUCUGUGCCAUAGGACGUGGUCCACCUUCGGGUGCGUACUACGCUCCUAGGCUUUUUGCUGGUUUUCCCGUCGUAGCCUUCACUGGUUGCGGCGGGUGGCUGGCGAGUUUACUUUGAGAAAAUCAGAGUGCUCAAUACAGGCGUAUCGCUUGAAUGAUUGUGCAUGGAAUAAUAGAAAAGGAUUUCGGUCCUCUUUUAUUGGUUUUGUGGACUGAGAUAAUGGUUAACAGGGACAAACGGGGGCAUUCGUAUCUCUGCGUGAAGAGGUGAAAUUUUUGGACC